rnacentral:rRNA from 1 species
GUGAACGCUGGCGGUAGGCCUAACACAUGCACGUCGAACGGCAGCACCGUAAGAGCUUGCUCUUACGGGUGGCGAGUGGCGGACGGGUGAGGAAUACAUCGGAAUCUACUUUUUCGUGGGGGAUAACGUAGGGAAACUUACGCUAAUACCGCAUACGACCUACGGGUGAAAGCAGGGGAUCUUCGGACCUUGCGCGGUUGAAUGAGCCGAUGUCGGAUUAGCUAGUUGGCGGGGUAAAGGCCCACCAAGGCGACGAUCCGUAGCUGGUCUGAGAGGAUGAUCAGCCACACUGGAACUGAGACACGGUCCAGACUCCUACGGGAGGCAGCAGUGGGGAAUAUUGGACAAUGGGCGCAAGCCUGAUCCAGCCAUACCGCGUGGGUGAAGAAGGCCUUCGGGUUGUAAAGCCCUUUUGUUGGGAAAGAAAAGCAGCAGGUUAAUACCCCGCUGUUCUGACGGUACCCAAAGAAUAAGCACCGGCUAACUUCGUG